rnacentral:rRNA from 1 species
AACGAACGCUGGCGGCAGGCUUAACACAUGCAAGUCGAGCGCCCCGCAAGGGGAGCGGCAGACGGGUGAGUAACGCGUGGGAACGUACCCUUUACUACGGAAUAACGCAGGGAAACUUGUGCUAAUACCGUAUGUGCCCUUUGGGGGAAAGAUUUAUCGGUAAAGGAUCGGCCCGCGUUGGAUUAGCUAGUUGGUGGGGUAAAGGCCUACCAAGGCGACGAUCCAUAGCUGGUCUGAGAGGAUGAUCAGCCACAUUGGGACUGAGACACGGCCCAAACUCCUACGGGAGGCAGCAGUGGGGAAUAUUGGACAAUGGGCGCAAGCCUGAUCCAGCCAUGCCGCGUGAGUGAUGAAGGCCCUAGGGUUGUAAAGCUCUUUCACCGGAGAAGAUAAUGACGGUAUCCGGAGAAGAAGCCCCGGCUAACUUCGUGCCAGCAGCCGCGGUAACAC